UGGAGCAGCCUCUGCUCGGCUCCAUGUUACACAAACGGAUCAAUCCCCGUGUGUGCUGCGAGCGCCGGAGAGAACAGCACGUUCUGCCCUUGGGUUUUAUGAGCUUGAGCUGCUGGCACGGCCGCGAAGCCCCCACCCGCUGCUAAGUGCAUUUUGGUCUGUGACAUUUAAUUCCGUCACUGUUUUUCUGAAGCAGCUGUGGUGGCAGAGGCCAGGUGACUCAUCCCGCCUGUAACCGAUGGCUCAGGAGGAUGCAGAUGCCAUCAGUGUUACUGGGAGCUGCAGACGAUCCACGAACCCCUUGUGAUGCUGCUGCGUGGCUGACUCAAGGUAAAAGCAGCAGAUGCUUCUGACAUCCUUUGCCAGUCCGCAAGAGAGCUGAGAUACUGUGAAUUUAUGACCUGUGCCUGCAGUGGAUUUCCCACAUCAAUGACUUGCAAGUACUGUUCCUUCCAGCUAAGAUGAACAGAAGUUUGAUCGUGAGACUAAUGCUGUCCAGAGUAUAGAGUGGCUUUGCAACCAAGAUGAGUCUUCAUCGUGAGUUUGCAACGCUUUUCAGCCACAGAAGGGUGUGUUGAAGCCAAUUAAAUGAAAUGCUGAGGGAGCUGCUGACCAUCCUUGUAUGAGUGGUGUGUGACGUCCUGGGUAGCUUGUGAAGAGCCCAAGGACUUCCAUUUGUACCCAGGGUCUUCAUCAUCUCAGAUACCUACAGAAACAUGGGCUUGGGAGGGGGAAAAGUGUUAGAAGUGAAGAUAAUAUUCUGAGAGGGGACCAGCUCAGCUUGCGUAUGGGAAAAGCACAAACAGUCCUCUAAAAAUACAGGAGUAUUUUUAUGAUACCCAAAUGAGUAUCUGCUGGAGGCUUUUGAGGAAAAGUGUUGCUCCCGAGAACAACGGCCUUUGGACCUGAGGACAUGAGGCUGUUUGGAGCUCUGGGGUUUCAGCUCCUUCCUCGAUGCUCUGUGCUUGUUGAAGAACCUCUUGACUCUAUCAGCUGUGUAAGUCUUGGCUCACAUGCUACAGAGCAAUUACACCCAUUUGGGGGCAAAGGGAACUGAUUACACCAAUUCUGGAGCAUUUACCUCCUUGCACAAAGUUGCAGCUCUUUGUUAUUCAGUAUGAUUUGAGCAUGCUGUGAAAACCACUGCAACUCUUCAAUUACCUGUGCCAUAAUGGGUUAGAGAUACAGGCUUGUCCUUACGGUCCGGGGCUGUGAAACUGUGUAAUUGUAACCCAGGUGUCAUCUCUUGCUGUUUUCCCUCACUGGUGCUGUAGACACACCUGCUUGAAGAAAGAGGAAGAUGUUUGCUUUAAUUAUGUAUAUAUACAUAUUUGUAUAUUUGUUUCUUUUAAAGUUAUUCAAAUUCCACUGAAAAAUUCUAUAGAAAGUUCUUUAGAAAACCACCAACUCUUAGAAUCUUUUGUGUACUUGCAGUUGACAAAAACACCUUUCCAAGAGCUGCUUGUGUUCAGUUGAUGCAUAGUCAGAGGUGCCUCUGCAGACUGGUUGUUGCCUGUUCUUGGCAAUAUUUCUGCCUUAAAUCCCUAUUGCAGACUCAGGCUAUGAUGUCACCUGGAGAGGGGCUUCAAAAGAUCAGCAAUAGGACUGAUCUGGCCUGCAGAAUAUGGCAGGCAGCUGGAAUCUAAAUGACUGAAAGUAACAGUGGAAAGCUCAAAAUUUAUAUCAGAUAUAAUGGAUUACAAGUAAGAUUUAUAAAAGGAUUACAGAAAGCAGUUAGUUAAAGCUACUAACAGUAAACAGGGAUUAAAAUAUUUAGCUAGCUGUAAAAAUAUGAAUAAUGGAGUCAUUUAUUUAGUUAUGUAAAGAAGCUGCGUACUUUAAACUGACAACAAAUAACACUC